GCCUCCGUGGUGUAACGGUUAACACACUCGGCGCGUAUUCGAGAGGUUCAGGGUUCAAAUCCCGGCGAGGGUA
rnacentral:tRNA from 1 species